GACGAACGCUGGCGGCGUGCUUAAUACAUGCAAGUCGAGCGCAGAUAUCUUGAAAGCUUGCUGAUAGAUAUUUGAUCGGCGGACGGGUGAGUAACGCGUGGGCAACCUACCUUCUAGCCCGGGAUAACAGAGCGAAAGAGCUGCUAACACCGGAUAAGCUCCCGACCAGACAUCUGGACGAGAGAAAAAGAGAUGCUAGAAGAUGGGCCCGCGUCCCAUUAGCUAGUUGGUGAGGUAACGGCCCACCAAGGCGACGAUGGGUAGCCGACCUGAGAGGGUGACCGGCCACACUGGGACUGAGACACGGCCCAGACUCCUACGGGAGGCAG
rnacentral:rRNA from 1 species